rnacentral:rRNA from 1 species
UACGAAGGGUGCUAGCGUUGUUCGGAAUUACUGGGCGUAAAGGGCGCGUAGGCGGUUAUAUAAGUCAGAUGUGAAAGCCCUGGGCUCAACCUAGGAACUGCAUUUGAUACUGUAUGACUAGAGUACGAGAGGGGAAGAUGGAAUUGUGCGUGUAGAGGUGAAAUUCGUAGAUAUGCACAGGAACACCGGUGGCGAAGGCGGUCUUCUGGCUCGUAACUGACGCUAAGGCGCGAAAGCGUGGGGAGCAAACAGG